AGCAGCCGCGGUAAUUCCAGCUCCAAUAGCGUAUAUUAAAGUUGUUGCAGUUAAAAAGCUCGUAGUUGAAUUUCGGGGUUAGUAGGUUGGUCAUGCCUCUGGUAUGUACUGGUCUCGCUGAUUCCUCCUUCCUGAUGAACCGUAAUGCCAUUAAUUUGGUGUUGCGGGGAAACUGGACUGUUACUUUGAAAAAAUUAGAGUGUUUAAAGCAGGCUAACGCCUGAAUACAUUAGCAUGGAAUAAUGAAAUAGGACGUUCGAUCCUAUUUUGUUGGUUUCUAGGAUUGACGUAAUGAUUAAUAGGGAUAGUUGGGGGCAUUAGUAUUCAAUUGUCAGAGGUGAAAUUCUUGGAUUUAUUGAAGACUAACUACUGCGAAAGCAUUUGCCAAGGAUGUUUUCAUUAAUCAAGAACGAAAGUUAGGGGAUCGAAGACGAUCAGAUACCGUCGUAGUCUUAACCAUAAACUAUGCCGACUAGGGAUCGGAUGAUGUUAUUUUUAAUGACUCA
rnacentral:rRNA from 1 species